rnacentral:rRNA from 1 species
CCUACGGGUGGCAGCAGUGAGGAAUAUUGGUCAAUGGGCGCGAGCCUGAACCAGCCAAGUAGCGUGAAGGAUGACUGCCCUACGGGUUGUAAACUUCUUUUAUAAGGGAAUAAAGUGAGGAACGUGUUCCUUUUUGUAUGUACUUUAUGAAUAAGCAUCGGCUAACUCCGUGCCAGCAGCCGCGGUAAUACGGAGGAUCCGAGCGUUAUCCGGAUUUAUUGGGUUUAAAGGGAGCGUAGAUGGUUUAUUAAGUCAGUUGUGAAAGUUUGUGGAUCAACCGUAAAAUUGCAGUUGAUACUGGUAGUCUUGAGUAUAGUUGAGGUAGGCGGAAUGCGUGGUGUAGCGGUGAAAUGCUUAGAUAUCACGAAGAACUCCGAUUGCGAAGGCAGCUUACUAAACUGCCACUGACACUGAUGCUCGAAAGUGUGGGUAUCAAACAGGAUUAGAUACCCUAGUAGUC